rnacentral:rRNA from 1 species
UUCCGGUUGAUCCUGCCGGACCCUACUGCUAUCGGGGUGGGACUAAAACAUGCGAGUCGAGCGCCUUCAAGCUAAGGUGAAGGCGCGGCGAACGGCUCAGUAACACGUGGCUAACCUACCCUUUGGACGGGGACAACCCCGGGAAACUGGGCCUAAUCCCCGAUAGAUGAGAACUCCUGGAAUGGUUUCUCAUCUAAAAGGUGUUUAGAGCAUGCUUCUAGGCGUCGCCAAAGGAUGGGGCCGCGGCCGAUCAGGUUGUUGGUGAGGUAACGGCUCACCAAGCCUAUAACCGGUACGGGCCAUGAGAGUGGGAGCCCGGAGAUGGGCACUGAGACAAGGGCCCAGGCCCUACGGGGCGCAGCAGUUGCGAAACCUCCACAAUGCACGAAAGUGUGAUGGGGCUAACCCGAGUGCCGUCCGCUGAGGAUGGCUUUUCUCCGCUGUAAGGAGGCGGAGGAAUAAGGAGAGGGCAAGACUGGUGUCAGCCGCCGCGGUAAUACCAGCUCUCCGAGUGGUAGGGACGAUUAUUGGGCUUAAAGCGUUCGUAGCCGGCCUGGAAAGUCUUUCGUCAAAUCCAGCGACCCAAUCGCUGGGCCGCGGGAGAUACUGUCAGGCUUGGGAGCGGGAGAGGCCGACGGUAUUCUCGGGGUAGGGGUGAAAUCCUAUAAUCCCGGGAGGACCACCAGUGGCGAAGGCUGUCGGCUAGAACGCGUCCGACGGUGAGGGACGAAAGCUGGGGGAGCGAACCGGAUUAGAUACCCGGGUAGUCCCAGCUGUAAACGAUGCGGGCUAGGUGUCGGUGUGGCUACGAGCCACUCCGGUGCCGCAGGGAAGCUCUUAAGCCCGCCGCCUGGGAAGUACGGUCGCAAGGCUGAAACUUAAAGGAAUUGGCGGGGGAGC